GCGCUGGUGAUGAAAUGGCGUAGAGCAUUCCUGCCCGGUCAGCAGGAGGUGCGGGUUCGAGCCCCUCUUGGCGCU
rnacentral:tRNA from 1 species